CAGCCGCCGCGGUAAAACGUAGGGUGCAAGCGUUAAUCGGAAUUACUGGGCGUAAAGCGUGCGCAGGCGGUUUGUUAAGACAGAUGUGAAAUCCCCGGGCUCAACCUGGGAACUGCAUUUGUGACUGGCAAGCUAGAGUCUGGCAGAGGGGGGUGGAAUUCCGCGUGUAGCAGUGAAAUGCGUAGAUAUGCGGAGGAACACCGAUGGCGAAGGCAGCCCCCUGGGCCAACACUGACGCUCAUGCACGAAAGCGUGGGGAGCAAACAGGAUUAGAUACCCCAGUAGUCCCUGUCUCUUAUAC
rnacentral:rRNA from 1 species